CUCUCUAUGUGUUUUCACAGAAACCCAGGCCCAGGGAGAACAUUUACCCCUCUUCCUACAUUUCAGAGCUGAAAAUGUCGGAAUUGUCAUGGUAAUGCCCAUAGUUGAUGUGACAGAUACUGAGAAGGAAAAACACGCUUGCCACAUGUGAAAACUGCCUGGUUGGUUCUGCUCUGAGUGCCUCUCUGGAGGGCACAUUGAUGGAUUUGACAAUCACUUAAUUCUACUAGAGCCUGACCUUCAGUCUGGAAGUCAGAUAUACGCAGCAGAGACGUAGAUGAUAGCCGCAGGCUGCUGCUGGUGGGAAGCUGACAGAGUCCACUUUAAAGGACUGCCUUCAGUACCAUCUACAUUCUUCUACCUGGGACUGUGUGUGGCCAUGCGGACAGGCUCUCACCUUCACUAAACAAUUCAACUGCUGAAUUCCAACUAUCACGACAACCAUUUACACCAGUAAAAUGAACCAGAGAAGUCAGUGUAUCAGAACCUAAGACGGGAAAACUCUAUUGGAUUUCCUUUUACCUUAACUCUUAGUCCCUGCUUGCAGCUGAACCUCGGAGAGCAAUCAGCAUUCAAUGUUCUGUAGUAUAAGGAUCCUCCAGCAGAUCAUCUCUAGAGCUAGCUCUGACUUCUGCUCCCAGAGUCACCAUGGUGGUUAAGUAUGAAUUUGAUGGUCAUCUGGAAUCAGCUCCUUCUGGAUGCACCUCAUUUCCAUUUCCUAAGCUUGGUGUCCUCAUUCAGAGAAGAAAAGAAAACAAACCAUGGAAUCCAAUUGGUAUUGCCUAUGUACUCUUGGGUGUGUGGCCUCCCUCCUGGGUGUUCUUUACAUGGCAUACCCUUAAAGGAAUGGACUCUCCCUCUCCUGGCAGCUGUCAGUUAACAAUGGGUCCUCAGCUAAACGUGGAGCUUAGUGCAUACCUCUCCUUCCAUGCCGUUUCCAGCAGUUCUUCUAAGAAAAUAAAACUGAACAUUUACAGCCUCAAAAGUGAUAAAUCUCACUCUCUCCUCAUGGCUGCAAUUCCUCCGUGGUUCCGGCUGAUUUGAACCUCUCUCCAUCUCUGUGCUCCUUUCCCUGGCUGGUGGAAGUUCUGCCCCAUUCCCUUUUCUGCCCAGCCAUUGGGUGAUCGUCAUUUAUUGACAAGGCAGAGAAUAAAUGAAUUUAGUGGAAAAAGUGGGGACUCUACCGAACCUUAAAACAGACCCAGCUUUCCUCCUUCCUGUGGAUGCUCUCCACCUCUCACUGGAGCCUCCAUGUCAGCCACCUAUUCAUGGAGGCACUCUCCACCUGAGAACCCCCUGCUACACCUGCCUGGGAUUCAGAAGCAAGAAAUACACACUGGAAAAAAAAGAUGGCAUUGUCAAAAACUGGUGCUGCUCAAACUGGAUGGCUGCAUAAUAGAAAAAUGCAAAUAGAUUCAUGCUUAUCACUUGCGCAAGCUCAACUCCAAGUGGAUCAGAGAUCUCAAAACAAGAUAUGCUGAGCCUGAUAGAAGAAAAGUGGGGAAUAGUUUUGAAUCAUCGGCACAGAAUUACAUGUGUCUGUGUUGUCUCCCCAGAGGCAGAGACGGAGAUUGACUGAACCACCAUUCAGAUGGUGCUAUUAAAUUCCAGGAGGUACUUCUGGUGGUGAGUUCUCCAUCACCACUCAGCAUUCCUAGCCAUCAGUCACUGGUGAACGAGGAGAGAGAGGGUGGGGAGAGGGGACCUGACAUACCACAUUCUGUUCAGCUCAUGACUUAGAGCUGAACAGCAGCGUGUGCUGGUACAGGGGCAGAUGAUCUGAUUCUGGCACUGGGAAUCUGUGUUUUAGGCAUCACUUUUAUAAUUUAAGUAAAACUGAGGAUUCAAAAAC
rnacentral:lncRNA from 1 species